AUUACUUGUACUAACUGUGAAAGAGGUUCUCUUCCUCGUCUUUCGAGGCAUUUAAUAGUUUCAUUUCUAAGUUCAUCUGGCAGCUGGAGGCACACCCAAUCUAGCAAUGCAUCCAAGUCUUUGGCAAAAUCAAGAAGAUACCAGUCCAACAACUUUGGGAUUAUGAGCUUAUUUGUUGCUGAAAUACCAACUGCUGCUUGUAAAUAGUCU
rnacentral:lncRNA from 1 species